rnacentral:rRNA from 1 species
CCUACGGGUGGCAGCAGUGAGGAAUAUUGGUCAAUGGGCGAGAGCCUGAACCAGCCAAGUCGCGUGAGGGAGUACUGCCCUAUGGGUUGUAACCCUCUUUUGUCGGGGAGCAAAAGCUGGACCUGUUCGGCUGUGAGAGUUCCCGAAGAAAAAGCAUUGGCUAACCCCGUGCCAGCAGCCGCGGUAAUACGGAGGGGGCAAGCGUUAUCCGGAUUUACUGGGGGUAAAGGGGUCGCAGGCGGGGAUGCAAGCCAGGAGUGAAAGCCCGGGGCCCAACCCCGGGACUGCUCUUGGAACUGCGUGGCUGGAGUGCAGGAGAGGCAGGCGGAAUUCGUGGUGUAGCGGUGAAAUGCGUAGAUAUCAGGAAGAACACCGAUGGCGAAGGCAGCCUGCUGGACUGCCACUGACGUUGAGGCCCGAAAGCGUGGGGAGCAAACAGGAUUAGAUACCCUGGUAGUC